rnacentral:misc_RNA from 1 species
UUGCCCCAAGCGAUCGAAGACGUUCAAAAGCUCAUUGCCCGCGAACCUCAGCGUGUCCUGCAUCCCUUGGAAUGCGGUUUGCUGUUGGCGCGCGGCGGCCGCAGCGGCCAUCAUGCGGUUUGCCUGUUCGGUAAUCGCCGGGUUGGUUGCUUCGGUUACGCCGUAAAGCUCUUUGCCCGCCGCCGCGUUGGCGCGCUUGGCGGCUUCCUCAAGCUGGGCGACAAGCGUU